CAGGCUGCGGCCGGAGCCCCGAGUGAGCUGGAGGAAGGAGUCGGUCACUAGGAAGUGGUCGCUGACGUCAGCACGGAGGCCGACGCCCUCUUUCGGUUCUUUGCGGUGAAUCCCUACGAAAUGGAACUGCCGGGUCAAAUGAGAGAGACAGUGCGUGGGCCGAGGGGAGGCGCAGGAGGAGACAGAACCUCCCGCAGGCGCCGCAGCCGAGCCCCGACAUCGGCCGAGCGAACCGAGAGCCGGUGGCUCAACCGACUGAGCCAGCCGCCCAGGUGCCCCACAAAAAUGGAUUGAGACCAAUUUACACAACCAUUCCCCGCUUUCAAACGAAAGGACAACAAACAAACUUCUUGCUGUUAAAGAACAGACGGGAUUGGAAAAACCGGCAGUCUCAAGGUCACCUGGGGCAGGAUCUGGUACUGAGAGAUAAUAAAUAGUCCAAUCCUGGAGCCCAGGCUGAGUUCCCUUGGGGCAAA